AGAGGUGCAGCUCAGUGGUGGAGCACUUGUCUAGCAUGCAUGAGCCCUGGGUUCCAUCCCCAGCACCACAA
rfam:Ictidomys tridecemlineatus contig071375, whole genome shotgun sequence.